UCCAGCACUCCAAGAGGCUGGGGAAGUAGAAUCAAAAAAAGUUCAAGGCCAGUCUGGAAUACAUACCAAGACCCUGUCUAAAAACUCCAGAUGUGAGUCCAGAAAUGAUUCUGGGCUAGAGACUGAACCCGGGGCCUAGUACACACUAAGUACACAAACUUUCAUUGACUUCAACUGCUAGAUUCUCAUGUAAUCCAGAUUCACCUGGAACUCAACUGUGGAGCCAUGCAUAGCUUUGGCCUUGAAAUCUUUUUCCUAUUUUCACCUUCCAUGUGCUAGGAUUACAGGUGCCAUCACUCCUGGCUCCAGGAAAUUCUUACACAGGAAAAUUUUAAAACAGCUGUCCUAAAUUAAAGGAGACUGAAGAUGCAGGACAAUAAAAGUCAGUUCAGCAUCCUUACUUGGAGCCUAGAACCAAAAUGGAAACAUUUUAGUACUAUUUGUUGGGCAUAGUAAUCCCAGCUCUGGUGCAAGCAGGAGAAUCAGACAUUCAAGGUCAUCCUUGGCUACAUAGCAAGUUCCAGGCCAGCUUGGGCUAUAUGAAACCCAAUAUCAAAAAAAAAAAAGUAAGACAAAAAUCAUUAGAAAUGUCAGGCGUGAUGAUACAUGCCUUUAAUCCCAACACUUGGGAGGCAGAGGCAGGCAGAUUUGAGUUUGAGGUUAGCCUAGUCUACAGAGUGAAUUCCAGAACAGGAUAGACAGGGCUACCUAGAGAAAGCCUGUCUCAAAACCAAAAAAGAAAAAUGCUGUCACAGAGAAGUCCGGAAGAGGUUAGCACACAAAACCCUCUUUUGUGGGUUGAAUUAUGUCCCCUACUAGCUACUAGAGCCUAAGUCUUCUACUGCUCGGAGUGUGUGUGUAUUUGAAAGUAGGGCAUUGUGUUGGAUUAUCCGAGAUAAUGUCUUAGAAUAGGCUGGGCUCUUCAGGAAAUCUGGCCAAUGUUUUGUAAGAAGUGGGGAAGAGACAGACACAGUGAGAACAAACUGAAGAUGACACUCGGGAGGGGUGAUGCCUCAGGUCACUGGUCACCCAAGAAACUCAGAGAACAGCCUGGGACCAAUAUCUCCUGAACCUUCAGAGAGCCAGGGCCAGCCAGCACCUUCAUUUUGGACUUCUGGCCUCCCAAACCAGAAAAUAAAUGUCUUGUUAAAUCUCCCCUCCCCCAAUGGCUCUCUGCUGUUACAGCCCUAGGACACACAUAGUCGCUCCAGCUCACAAACAGGCAGGCUCAGAAUCCAGGUGACCCAACCACUGUAUCAUUAUGCUGGCUCAAUCUUUUUGUCCCUGCCAUUUUGGCCUGACGCUAGAAACACAGCUCAAAUGGCAGAUCACCCCAGUUUCAUGUGGGGGGCAGUAGCAGGGGCAGACAAAGCUAACAGUUGCCCCCGUGGAACACUAUAGCCCCAAGCCGUCAAGCUGACUGUCCAGAAGACCCUGAAUCUCAAGCAGAAGCUUAAAGAAAAUUCCAGAACACUGAGGAGGAAGUUGAUUCUGCCAAGAUUCUCAAAGCACUUUUCCAUUCCAUUGUCAUUCCUUGCCUAUGGUGAUAAGUGAACCAUUUCUUCAAAACAUUUGAGGGCAGAUGGCAUAGUUCAAUGGUACAAAACUUGCCUAGCAUGUAUAAGACUCUGGGUUCAAUACCCAGCUUUGUUGUGAAAAUUAUAUGGUUAGCCAGGGCAACAAAGUCAGAACCUGCCAUAAGAAGAAAAGAAAAGGAAAAAGAAAAAGAAACUUGUGAGAGACUCAGAGCAAAGAGAGAAAUGGCCACUGGGAUGAAGAGCCAUCUUGUUGCAGGAUUGACUGAAAGCUGCUUCAUUAAAAGGAUCAGGAUUAGCAAGGCUCGGUUUUCUGAAAACCAUUAUGCAGGAUGAGCAGCGCAUACACGCAGUCCCAGCUACUCAGGAGUGGAAGAUGAGGGGAAUCGCUCGAUCCCCAAAAAUCGUGGGCGUCGAGAGAAGCCCGUGGGGCUCCCUGAGCGACCACAAGCUGAAGACCUAAGGGCAUUGUUUCUGUGCUUGCAGGGUGGCAAAGACAGGAAGCCACGCCCCCCUGAGAAACUCAACAGAGUCUCCACCUUAGACUACUAGCAAUAGUGGAGAGGGUGCCUGAACUGGCCUACUCCGGUAAUCAGACUGGUGAAUACCCUAACUAAUCAUAGAGCCUUCGUGCAGUAACUGAUGGAAGCAGAUGCAGAGAUCCACAGCCAAGCACCAGGCCGAGCUCCAGGAGUCCAGCUGAAGAGGGAGAAGAGGGAUUGUAUGAGCAAAGUGGGGGAGGGGCCCAAGAUCAUGAUGGGGAACCCUACAGAGACAACCAAACCAAGCUAGUGGGAACUCGUGAACUGGACCAACAGCUGUGGAACCUCCACGGGACUGGACUAGGCCCUCUGCAUAAGCCAGACAGUUGUGUAGCUUGACCUGCUUAAGGGGCCCCUGGCAGUGGGAUCAAGAUCUGUCUCUGGUGCAUAUGUGGGCCUUUUGGAGCCCACUGCCUAUGGUGGAACACCUCACAUGGCCUUGAGGCGGGGG